rnacentral:rRNA from 1 species
AUUGAACGCUGGCGGCAUGCUUUACACAUGCAAGUCGAACGGCAGCGCGGGGCAACCUGGCGGCGAGUGGCGAACGGGUGAGUAAUAUAUCGGAACGUACCCAGAAGUGGGGGAUAACGUAGCGAAAGUUACGCUAAUACCGCAUACGAUCUACGGAUGAAAGUGGGGGACCUUCGGGCCUCAUGCUUGUGGAGCGGCCGAUAUCUGAUUAGCUAGUUGGUAGGGUAAAGGCUUACCAAGGCGACGAUCAGUAGCUGGUCUGAGAGGACGACCAGCCACACUGGGACUGAGACACGGCCCAGACUCCUACGGGAGGCAGCAGUGGGGAAUUUUGGACAAUGGGCGCAAGCCUGAUCCAGCAAUGCCGCGUGAGUGAAGAAGGCCUUCGGGUUGUAAAGCUCUUUUGUCAGGGAAGAAACGGUGCGGACUAAUAUUCUGCGCUAAUGACGGUACCUGAAGAAUAAGCACCGGCUAACUCCGUGCCAGCCGCCGCGGUAA